rnacentral:misc_RNA from 1 species
UACGUAGGGGUCGAGCGUUGUCCGGAGUUACUGGGCGUAAAGCGUGCGCAGGCGGCGGUCUGCGCCCGGCGUGAAAGCCCCCGGCUCAACCGGGGAAGGUCGUCGGGGACGGGACCGCUUGAGGGUCGCAGGGGCUGGUGGAAUUCCCGGUGUAGUGGUGAAAUGCGUAGAGAUCGGGAGGAACACCCGUGGCGAAGGCGGCCAGCUGGGCGACACCUGACGCUGAGGCACGAAGGCGUGGGGAGCGAACGGG